rnacentral:misc_RNA from 1 species
GAUGAAGAACGUAGCGAAAUGCGAUACUUGGUGUGAAUUGCAGAAUCCCGUGAACCAUCGAGUCUUUGAACGCAAGUUGCGCCCGAAGCCAUCAGGUUGAGGGCACGUCUGCCUGGGCGUCACAUAUCGUUGCUCGAUGCCUAUCGCAUUGCGAUAGGACUUAGGGCGAAUGAUGGCUUCCCGUGAGCGUUGUUGCCUCGCGGUUGGUUGAAAAUCGAGUCCUUGGUAGGGUGUGCCAUGAUAGAUGGUGGUCGAGUUAGCACGAGACUGAUCAUGUGCAUGCUCCCCAAAAUAUGGCCUCUGUGACCCACACACGUCUUUUGACGCUCAUGACGAGACCUCAGGUCAGGCGGGGCUACCCGCUGAAUUUAAGCAUAUCAAUAAGCGGAGGA